rnacentral:misc_RNA from 1 species
UUAAAGUUGAGACUUGAGAGCCAUAUUAGUAUGGGAUGUUGAUUGCCAGACCCAGAGCGAUUUAUCAAGCAGAAGGCUUCAGAAUUUGAAUCAGCCGCCUUGGUCCUUUAGUCGCUUGAUGAUUUACUGCUCAAUUCCCAUGAAGAAGAAUGUCUCAUCUCUUUCAUAAUUUGUUGAACCUGGAUAAACCCUAGUGCGCAGCCGUUUCAUGAAGUGUUGAUGGUGUUUUACAUAACACUGCCAGACUUCGUCAUCAUGAGAGUAUCUUCAGAAAGGUGGUGCAACCUAAUUGCGAAGAAGAGGCAAAAGGAAGCAACCGAAAGGCAAACAAGACAGAUUUGAGGUCCCUGGAAUGUGACAUUGAUCCUGCCCACUUAAGCAGCACUGAAAAGCCUGACUCAGGCGUCUCAGGGAACAUGGCUUGGUAAAUUCCCGCAUCUCCAAAUUUGUUAAAGCUACGGCUCCAUCUUCAGCCUAAGACUGAGCAGUUGGUUUAAAUCGAAUCAAAUCGAAUUAAAUUAUUAAAAUUAAAUUAAUCAAAUUAUCAUAUUUUAGAAAUUAAAUUGAAUCGAAAUAUAUGAAAAAUUGAAUCAAACCGAAUUUGUAAUUCAAACUAAUUGAUUUUUG